GCGAGAGGAAGGCGCACAGGCAGAGCAGCAGCAGCGUCAGGAAGGUGCCAUUGCGGAGCCUCAUCUCCUCCGUCCUGCUGUUUCCUCCCCACUGCCCCAGCAGAAUCCCAGGAGAGGGUCCUCUGGACCAUACACCACUUAGGGGCAGGCGCUCGCCACUGGGCUGAGAAUGGGUCAGCACCAGGCUUGCCUGUCCUGCCAGGACUGUACACUGAGGGCAAGAAGGACAGUGUGGUGCUGCCACCAGGAGGGGCUGGAGAGGAUGGUUGUGGAGUGAGCAGAAGCCUAGGGGACUCUGGCCCCCAGGGCCUGCAUAAGUAGCAACGCAGUGAGGGAAGGCCCACCGCAGGCAUGCAUCAGGCCCUGCGACCCCUCCCCAAAGCCUCUGCACUCCCAGCUGUAGCCUUUGCAACAGUUGGCUGGCUCCUGGUCAGUUUUCCAUGGCUCUCUGUGCCCUUACUGCAAUGCAUUCCUCGGGGUCUGCUUGCACCUCAACUCCCUCUGGCACUUCUAGGCAGGUGAGCUCUGCCUGCCCUCCUGCCACCCAGGAUGGGAUGCCCUCUCACCCGAGAGUUCACCUUCUUUGCUGGGGACAAUGACACUGGCCAGAUGGGUGUAGAAAGUCCUGCUUUCUCUCCCGACCCGGCUGUGGCCCUGUCCCCUUUGUUCUUCUUGCUUCCCACAAAGGGAAAAUGCUUUUGAGUUGGGAUUCCAAGCCAGCCCUCAGCCCAUGCUGCCUUCUGGAGAUUUUCUGGGACAGCCUCCAGAGGUGGCUGCUCCUUCCAUCCUUCCUCACGGGGCUUCUUAACCUGUGGCCUAGGGAUCCAGUGUUGGGGAGGUCUAAGAGCUGAGACGAG